AAAUUGAAGAGUUUGAUCAUGGCUCAGAUUGAACGCUGGCGGCAGGCCUAACACAUGCAAGUCGAACGGUAACAGGAAGCAGCUUGCUGUUUCGCUGACGAGUGGCGGACGGGUGAGUAAUGUCUGGGAAACUGCCUGAUGGAGGGGGAUAACUACUGGAAACGGUGGCUAAUACCGCAUAACGUCGCAAGACCAAAGAGGGGGACCUUCGGGCCUCUUGCCAUCAGAUGUGCCCAGAUGGGAU
rnacentral:rRNA from 1 species